AUUGAACGCUGGCGGCAGGCCUAACACAUGCAAGUCGAGCGGAGCGGCGGACGGGUGAGUAAUGCCUAGGAAUCUGCCUGGUAGUGGGGGAUAACGUCCGGAAACGGACGCUAAUACCGCAUACUAUCAGAUGAGCCUAGGUCGGAUUAGCUAGUUGGUGGGGUAAUGGCGUACCAAGUCUACGAUCCGUAACUGGUCUGAGAGGAUGAUCAGUCACACUGGAACGGAGACACGGUCCAGACUCCUACGGGAGGCAGCAGUGGGGAAUAUUGGACAAUGGGCGAAAGCCUGAUGCAGCCAUGCCGCGUGUGUGAAGAAGGUCUUCGGAUUGUAAAGCACUUUAAGUUGGGAGGCGUUACCAACAGAAUAAGCACCGGCUAACUCCGUGCCAGCAGCCGCGGUAAUUC
rnacentral:rRNA from 1 species